rnacentral:miRNA from 1 species
UGAAGAGAAGAAGAUUGAUGAA